rnacentral:ncRNA from 2 species
UAUUUUUUUAAAGCGCCUGAACUGAGCUGGACGAAAGUGCUUAGUUGACGAGGAUGGAGGUUAUCGAAAAUUCGGCGGAUGCCUCCCGGCUGAUUUUAGGUUACAGCCGUAAGUUUUUCUUUAAAACAAAGAGGCAACUUUUUGUACAAAGAGAAAAACGUAGCCUUCC